rnacentral:lncRNA from 1 species
GACUCUUUUAUAUGAAAGUAGAUAUUACUGAGAUUUACAACACUUACACAGACCACAUAUGAUCAUUUGCUAAAAAUUUCAUCUCCUAAUAAUAAAUUUGAAAAAUAAAAUUAAACAUAAUGAUAUGAAGAGUAAUAGUUUAGACACUAAGUUUUUAAUUACAAUAUAUUAGUAAUGAAAGUUGAAGAAGUUUAAGGCCAAACAAAAUCCACGCAUACCCUGGAUUCAAAUUCCAAUGGAUUAUUCUCAAUCACAGUUUCCUCAUCUUUCAAAGUUUUUCUCUGAGCAGCAGGAGUCGAUGAAGAAGAAAGAGAAGAUGGAGGAUAUGUGGCUAAUAGAGCUGUAGCAUCCCACUCUUGCAUCCAAAGAAGGUCUGAAAAUAAAAGUAUCAACGAAGCCAUUGCAAAUCAAUUUCCAGAUUAAUUGUAUGAUGAUGAAUUUGAAGUUGAUGGUUAAUAUGAAAAUUCUCAAAGUUAUAUAUAAUUGAAAUGAGUUGAGUAAAGUGGUCAUAGAUUAUGACUUUUCUGUUUGCUGGUACUGCUGUUUAUUGUUGCGGUCGCCGCUGUUUUUUUCCUAUGCAUGUUGUCGCCAUCUGUAUUGUUUAGGGAUAUUGAAAACCACUUAUAGGACCGUGGUUUCUAUUUUGCCUAACCAAUCCCUUAUUAAUUUUAUAUUACGGCACACCCAAUAAAUCUAAAGAUUAUUUUAAGGAAAAAAUUUUAAAUUGAAAAUUUCUAAAAUAUACUUUAUAUUACUUUUUUUUCUAAGAAAAGUUUAAAAGAAUUUUUUAAAUAAAAAGAAUAAACUUUUUGAUAAUUUCUCAUCAAAAUUAUUUUAAAUGUUUUAUCCUUAUACUCUUUUUUCUUAUGUUAUUUUGUUGAAUAACUCGGGUCUACAACGUUGAUAUCGAACUAAUGGAGAUUGCAUGAUUGUGGGCGUCUUGAUAAUCUGGUAUGAUGUCGGGGUGUAUAUGUGUUUAUUAUAUAAGUUAGGAAAUAAACGCUAGUCUCUUAUAAAAAAUAUUACUUGCAGAAUCGACUAGAUAAUCUUAAAACAUAGUGUUAAAAUAUUUUCUAAAUUUUGUGUGAGAAUGUGAAGUAUUUUGACGUGGUCGAAAUCCUUAUGUAAAAAUAGUGCAAAUUAAGAUAGAAUUGUUGAAAAGGUAAAUUAUUUCGACAAAUUUUUUAUAAAAGAUAAUGUAAAGUGAAAAGCAAUAGUAAUGAAAUGAAAGAAAGAUUGCAAAGGAAAUAAGUUUAAGUAAAAGAUUUUGUAUUAAAUGAAAUGGUGUUUGAAAUCAUACAUUUCACUCAGAUUACUCAUUUCACGCUUCACUUGGGUACUUUGAGUUUGUGAGUUUUUGUAGUAAAUUCAACAGAACACCCUAAAUCCUAACACUAGAACUCUUAUUUAUACUAAUGUAAAAUAAUUGCUUAUAACGAUAUUAUUUUCAGAAAUUGACACAUAAUUGUUGCAUGGUUUUCACCUCUGAAACGUCUCCCACGUGUCUCUCUGGAUAAGACUAAAAGAAAGUUACUGACUUUGAAAUUGUUUCUUUGCGCCAACUGAUGUUUGUCGACGUGUCUCGCUGAUUAUUAACGUCAAAAUCUUGAACAAUGUUGCCGUCAAAAUCUUGAAUUGAAUCUAUUUUCAGAAAAUACUAAGUCUCAAUCUCUAUCUCAGAUCUGAGACUUCGAAUCCCUUAGCUGGCAAACUGAAUCGAAAUCUCUUUUCAAACUUCCAACUUUUUCCUAAUUGUGCUUAGAUUUGAUCCUGUCAAAAAUCCCAGUUAACAAAUUGUCCCUCAAAAAUGCCACUUUCGACUGAAGGAAGAUAGAGGCAUUUUUUACUUUCCUUGACACUAUUUCACAUAAUGGGCUGACGUCAUUGGCAUCAAGACAUUUCUAUCAACCGUUACCUCGAAAACAUGCAUCUUCCCAUAACUUUUAAUCAUGGAUCUGCUUUUUUAGGAUGACAUGUCUACUUAACCGCAACCGCUCGAUUUCGCCUCUAAUGGCAUGACACGUGUCACAGAAAUUGGCGCAAUUUGUCAAGAAAGCAAAACAAAAGGGUUUUUCUUGAACAAAUUGUUUCCCAUAAUCACAUAGUUCAGGGCCAUGUACUUGAUCUUUUGAUUUAUCGCUCCUGUUGGAUUUCCCAAAUAUUCGACAAUGGGUUUCCGCUAGUCAGUAUCUGACAUUAGGUCGAUGGACAAAACUUCGAAGGCUUCAAGAUUUUCAAAAAACUUAGAAUUUUCAAAGUUUGGUGAUAUCCUAGCUUCGUCUACCCCCCUCCCCCCAACUUUUAACAUUGGCAACGCCUCUAAAGAGUUGUCAGCUGAGAUUAACUUAUCUUUAAUUUCCACCAAAUCCUCUAAUAUCUCUUUGGAGAUUUUAUAACCUGAAGCAAUAUGGGAUAACUCAUUAGCCUUUUGAUUCUCCAAUCGAGGUAUAUGAUCAAUAACAACGUAGUUGAAACGUUUCAGUAAGAAUUUGGCUAUAACGAAGUACAUCAUUAAGUUCUCUUUGAUGCACUUAUAUUAUUUUUUCAAUUAUCUAACUACCAACUUUGAGUUACCUUUUAUUUCGACAUCAUUUCCCCCCAAGUCCAACAAUAUCUAAAGUCCUAUUAUCAAGGCCUCAUAUUCAACCUCGUUGUUUGAACAAAGGCUUUCGAUUCUAAAUUCGAACUUGGUUGGUAUAUCCUCUGGAACAAUUAUAAAAACUCCAACUCCAAUUUCGUCUUUAUGUCUGGAACCGUCGAAGUAUAAUUUCAAAGGCAUUUCCUUUACGUAACUUUCUAUUGCUUCGACCACUAUGUGAUCAACAAUGAACUUUGUGACAAUCUGCCCUUUUAUUGCUUUUAGAGGAUAAUAAGUUAGUGAAUAUUCAAUGAGUGCUAAUGCCCACUUCUAUAUUCGACUGUGAAGUAUAGGUUUUGACAACAUGUGUUUGAUCACAUCGAAAUGAGAAUACACAUAAACAUCAACAGGAUUUAUAUAAUGCUUUAGUUUUGUAGAUAAAAAGUAUAAACAAAGACAUAACUUCUCUAUUGCAUUAUACCUAGUUUCAACAUUAUUCAGGAUUCGACUAAGGUAAUAAAUGGCUCUUUUGACGUCAUUCUCGUCCUCUUGUGCUAAAACACUUCCUAUGGUCGAAUCCGAUGCAGAUAUGUACAAUUUCAUGUUCUUAUUUAUACUAGGAGGUAAUAAAACAGGAGGCUUUGUCACAUAGCUCUCGAUUUUGUCAAAGGCCUCUUGUUGCUCGCUCCUCCAUCUGAAAUCAUUUUCUUUCCCGAGUCGAAGUAAUGGCGAGAAAGCCUAAGUCUUGCCAUUUAAUUUGGAUAUGAACCUUCGUAGGAAGUUUAUUUUUCCCAACAAAUAUUGGAGUUGUUUCUUUGUCGAGGGAGGCUUAAGAUCCAAAAUUGCUUUGGUUUUUUUAUUAAUCUCAAUUCCUUUUUUGUGCACCACGAAUCCCAAGAAAUCUCCUACGUGGACAUAAAAAGCACAUAUUAAUGGAUUCACUUUUAAUCCAUAUUUCCUCAUCCUUUCAAAGGAUUGUCAAAGAUGGCCUAAGUGAGCAUUUUCUGAAGAGGACUUUAUGACUAUGUCAUUGAUGUAAACCUGCAUGAAUGUUUCAAUGAAGUCAUGAAACAUCGAAUUCAUAGCCCUUUGAUAGGUUUCUCCGACAUUUUUUAAACCAAAGGAAAUUAGUACCCAUUUAUAGGUUCCUAAAGCACCUGAGCAUCGAAACGUCAUUUUAGGUACGUAUUCUUCAACUCUAAAAAUAUGAUUAUAACCUAAACAUCCACCUAACAUACUUAGAUAUUUAAAACCUAUAGCGGAAUCUACUAACAUUUCUACCACUGGCAUUGGGUAUUCGUCUAUAGGUGUAGCAUUUUUCAACUCUCUAAAAUUUGUACAUACUCUAAGAGUUCCAUUAUUCUUUAUAAUAGGCACAAUAUUUGCUAACCAUUCGAAGUACUUGGUUGUUAUAAUGAACUUUCUCUUGAGAAACCUUUCGAUCUCCUCUUUGAUCUUCGACAUGAUUUCUGGAGCGAACCUCUUUGGUAGUUUCUUCACCGGCUUUUUACCAGGUCGAAUUGGUAGCUUUAAAUCCAUCAUGUUUCGAUUCAAUCUUGGAAUUUCGUUGUUAUCCCAGGCGAAACAAUCUUUGAAUUCCCUAAGCAAUUCAACCAUAUUUUCCUUCAUGCAUGGUUUGACUUUAGCGCUGAUGUAGGUUGGUCUUUUUACUACUCAAUCACCAAGAUAUAUUUCCUCAAAUGGAUCUUGGGCUUGCAUAUUCUUUAUAGAAUCAAUUGGUUCUUUUCAAACCCCAAAGGCUCGUUGUCAUAAAUACGAUCAAGCCUCCGAAUUUCUGAAGCUGUUGUUUGGCCAAAAUGGUCAUUUCCAAUUUUCCCAGAAUCUUCCAGAAUGGCUUCAAAACCCAUAUUUUGCAAUGUUACAGCCUCUGGGGCCAAGUUUAGUCUAUUUUCAUCCAUAUAUGUCACAAUCUGAGCCAAAGAGGUUGACUCAGUAGUCAUGGUCGUCGACCAUUGUCCCCCUAGUGGGUGCGACCCUUCUUUCUUUGACAGUGUGAUCUCCCACGUCUUCCUUAUCCUAGAUAAAUCUAUGGUUGGGAUAUAGCUUUAGAAAGUACGUAGCAUAUUUCUAGAGAGUGUAGGUAUCCUAUGUUUCAUAACAUGGAUGGAUUUUGGCUAGGUUCCUAUCGAAGUGCUUCUUACCAACCUUGUUAACUUCAACCAUUUAGUAACUCUGGUCAGCUUCAAUAUUCUUCACUAUGUCGUCGGGGAGCCAUAUGGCAAUCCUUUGGUUCAAAUUUGAAGGAACUACACCAAUACCAUGUAUCUGUUUGUGUCCUAGAAACAUAUUAUAGUUUGCAUCAGACACAAUCACCAUAAACAAUGUUGGCUUGAUUGUAGUACCAACUGAUAAUUCGACAUAUAUUACUCCCAGGAUAUGGCUGGUCUUGCCUUCAUAGUUUAGAUAUUUUAUAUAUGACUUCCCUAUUUUCUUAAACAAGGAAUGCAACAUUAAAUUUACAGUCGCUUCUCCGUCAACAAAGAUUUUAUUGACAACAACGUUGUCUACCUUUGCCUUUACAAACAAAAGUUUCAGGUGGUACAUCAUUCCAGCAUUUGGUGGUUGAAAUCCUGGAUGUUGCCCUAAGUUUACAUGGGACAUCCUAUUUUUCAGGAAUUUUGACUUUCCUAACAUUUGAUAUUUGAGGGGUUGGUCGAGUCUGAACCUCAGGGGUGCUGAAAAAAUCGGCUAUUCGACCCAUCUGGUUGGCCAACAACUCAUAUGUUUGGUUAGUAUUUGUAAUCAGAGGAUUGAAUAUUGUGAAGGAGAAUUGCCAUCCAAGGCGCAGCGGAAUUUAAAAAUUUCUCCAUUUAGUGAUCCUUACGAAUGGGCAUGAUCAGUGAUAGAAUCGUUACCUCUUGUGGCGAUUCAAACCUUUGGUGCAGAUCUCUGAUAAUGAUCAAAACNGAGUUUGCACCGAACUAGGUUAACAAUUACUUGUGUCUCUUGCAUUAUGUUCUUUUAUCUUUUACCCUGUUUUGUAUUGCUCAGUAUAUUAGUGUCAUGACAUUACCUUCGACAUUUAUAUCUGAUACCAGAAUUCCAAUCGUUAACAUCAUUAUGUGAGAUAGAUUGCAAGGGCAAAAAAAACUUAAGGUAAAGUCUUAGGGUAAAACUGUUUAACGAGUGUUUUUGAAAUACAUUGUUUACACAGAAUAUUAAAAUAAUUAUUUACAAUAAAUGUUUGCUCUUAUUACUUAAUUAUCUUUGUUGAUAUCUUUUCUCUUAUGUUCUAACCCUUUGGUUAAAUAGAAAAACCGAACGUUAGAAUAUUUUGUUACACUUAUAAGCAAAUAAAAUCAUAAACUGCGUUAUGCUGGGAUCAAAAUCUGUACUGAUUAUUUUUUCACCUCAGUCUUAAGAAAAUAGAGAGAAUGUAUGGUUUUUUUUUAUUUUUUUUAAGUAAUAAAAAUAGCGCGCCUUGGCUUUAUACCUCGAUUUUCAUUGUGUGAGGUGAAGCUUUGUCAUGAAAGCGUUAUUUAUUGUAGUGCCUACUUGAUACACUGGUAAUUAGUGGGCAUCUGGAUUUACUGAUUUGGUUGCAAUCGAAGAUCGAAUUAGAAAAGGAAUAAAAGAUGGCAAGAUUCUCAUCAACGUUGGGCAUCCAGCGCUCAAUAGAAGUUCUCUAAAAAUUUCAAGAAGUAAAGAAGGGAGAGAGAACAAUGUGUAUCUCUGAUGACAGAGGAAGAUCUCGCCAGAAGGAGGCCACCAUAGCAUAUGAUAUAUCAACAUCGGUGUGUGCCCAUGUCGUACUAUCCACAACCUUAUGUAGCUGAUAUUACGCUAACUAGUAGCAAGCCGCUCUUCAUUGCUUAUCAAUGUCUUUUCUCAGGGUAUACAUAGAACCUGGUAGCUCAUCACCGAGCACUGCAUAUCUCCAUGAAGUGUCUGGACGAUGCGCUAGCCCGAGUUUGCGGUGGACACAAGAUUUAUCACGUAAAUGUUAUGCCAAAAGUCUACAUUGGAAAAGCUAUCUUGUAAAGAGACAAUGAUGAUACCUAUGUGAUGGUGGUCAAGAACAUUUGAUGGAUCAAGAAAACUGUAUUCGAGAAGUUGAUCUACCCAGCUAAUAGGCCCACAUUUCCAACUAAAAUUCCAAGUUAUGGGCAUCAAUUCUGCAUACAAUUGCCUAUUGAGGAGGCCUUGGAUCCAUGUUGUAGGGGAAUGACUUCUACCAUUCAUUAGAAGAUGAAGUUGUAAGUCAAAGGCAAUUGAUCAUAAUAUCUGGUGAAGAAGAUUGAUGAUCAGUCAUCUUUCAACGUUCAGGUAUGUAGAGGCUGGCGAGGAAGCAUUGGAAACUUCUUUCCAGGAUCUCAAAAUUGCUAAUGUUGUGUUCUUGGAGGAGAAAGACCAAGACACGAAUGUGAACUCAUGAUUUGUCUCGUUGAAGAGUACGAGGGAAACGCUUGAGAAGGGAUCCCUGAAGUUGGGUCAACUGAUCAGCAUCCAGGAGAAAGGGAUCGCUUUAUAAGCCUCUUAUAGAGAGAGACGCCCGAGGUCCUACAAAUACCAUCGUUUGAAGUUUUAAAGAGGUGUUUAUUAGCAUCGGCUUCAUGCACCGACAACCAAGUGGAUGCUUUAGAAGACGAUACAACAGGUUCAUAAAUACCAUGCCUGGUAUACCAUUGUGUUGUUGCUUUGGACAACUGGGAAACCAUUGAUCUACCAGAAGUCUUUCACUUGUCAAAGUAAUUUGUUUACUCAAAUCCUUUUAAUCCUACCAAGGCUUAAGGAUCAUAUGUAGGGCCCUCUUUAUUUUAAUGAUUAUCAUCAUUAAUAACAACAUUUUGUUUAUUCAAUCUUGCUUUAUUUUAUUUGUUUUUUUAACAAAUGACAACCUUCAAAAUGACAAAAACAUUUUUUUCUAUUUUAAUUUUUAAUUUUUCACUUUCUAAAAUCAACAUUAAAAUCAUGCAAAUAAUCAAUGAAUCCGGUUGAACUUAAUAACACUACAAUCCCUCAUAACUUUGAGCUCCCCAUUAACCAAGUUGAAGAGGAGUGUGAGGACGAUUGUGGUCUUCUUAAAGAGCUGGAAAGGCUGCUCGACACAACUCCAAAGCCAUGCAGUCGCAUCAGAGGCGAUGAUGGUCAUCAACUUGGGUAUAUAGAGAAAAAGAAGAAGGUCCAGGUCAGGAUCCACACUUUGAAGCAAGCAUCAAAGAGAGGUUGGUCAAGUUUUUGCAUGAAUGUGUGGAUGUGUUUGCCAGGUCAUAUAAAGAUAUGCAAGGACUAGACACAUACAUUGUUGAGCACCGACUACCACUACAACCGAAUGCCUGCCCUGUGAAGCAAAAGAUGGUGAGAACUAGUCCUGACAUGUCCAUCAAAAUCCGGGAAGAGAGGUCAAGACACGUUCGACACAGGAUUUCUAGUAGUGGCUAAGUACCCUAAAUGGGUUGCCAACAUCGGUUUGUGCCCAAAAAAGGAUGUCAAAGUGAGUUUGUGUGUUGACUAUUAGGUAUUUAAACAAAGUAAAUCCAAAGGACGACUUUCUCUACCAUAUAUUGAUACACUGGUAGACAACACUGCCAAGUUCUCCGUCUUCUCCUUCAUGAAUGGUUUCUCAGGCUAUAAUCAGAUUAGGAUGACGUUCGAGGAUAUGUUUUCUGUUAUUGAAACUCAAGUUAUUUUGAUGGAACUUUUACCUUCAUUAACAAGAUUUAAUCGAUGGUAAUUAAAGAGAAGAGUAAGUUAUUGCUUUACUUCAUAAAGCUGAUGAUAGUGUUAAUGCUGAAGAAUUAAAUACUUUGAUAAAUUCUUAUGAUGCAGAUCGUGGUAAAGUUCAGACAUCUACUCAUUAUAAUGGUUACAGAAGGAUACUAGAUUUGCACUCAUUGUGAUAGACUUGGUCAUAUCUAAAUGUGGUUUCAGAAAAAACAUGUUAUCUCCUUAUUUUGCAUGAAACAUAUCUAUUAGUGCUUACAAUUAUAAUGGUGGUGAGGAGAAAAAUAAGUUGUCACUAGAAGACCAUAGGAAAACCAUUCUCCAAUGCCCUUAUGCGAAGACAUGUGAGUUAGACAUUUCACCAAGACGGAUUCACAUCUGACCAAGUUAAUCGAUCAAACACAUCAUACCAUUUAACAACCUUUCAACUAAUAAAUUCAUAUUAGUAUUGAUAAAUUCACCCUAUAAGCUCUUACACUUGGUUAAGCGAGAAUUUUGUAUUAUUUAUUACUCCCACUUCUCGACUAGCCACUGUGUUUUCAGACUAUGACAUCAGAUACACCUCAAUCAGAGAACUACUCAUUGGUAUGGAAGAGACAUUUACGUUUUUGCCUAAGAGAUGAUAGAAUAUUGAUAAUUCCGAAGACACAAAAAGAAAAAUUUAGGAUCAAAUCGCAACCUUAAAGAUUUAUGCAUCAUUUUGCGAUGUCAAACAGUUAUGUUUAUUAAGACAACAUUGUCCUCGAAUCAACAUGAAUAUAAUAUUUUUAACAAUAAAUGGUCCCAACAAGGCAACUUUAAUCUACAAAUACAAGACUCCAUCAGCCAAAGGCUUUGAGAGACUACUAUUCCAGGAUGUGCUUUUUCUUUAUCUAAGUCCAAUAUCUCUACUUCAAGUUUAUAUAAACUUAAUCUAUAAACAUUAAGGUACACUUCUUAACCUGAAAAUAUUUUCACAUUUGAUUGUCAUUCUCUGAAUUUUAAAGUGUUUGCAGAUAUAGCGACAUCAAACUAGAACAUCUAGACGCCAACAAUCAUGCAGUCUCCAUUAUUACAUUUGAUUGUGAUUGUCUGAAUUUUAAAGUGUUUGCAGAAGAUACCCCGACAUCAAACUAACCAACAAUGAUGUAAUCUCCAUUAUUUCAAUAUUAACAUUAUAACCCGAGUUCUUUCAACAAAAUAUAUAAAAAGAGUUCAAGAUAAAAUAUUUUAAAAUUGUUUUUGAUGAAAAUUAUCAAAAAAUUAUUCUUUUUAUUUAAAAAUUAUUUUUUAACUUUUUUUCGAAAAAAAAGUAAUAUAAAGUAUAUUUUAGAAAACUUUCAAUUUUAAAAUUUUCCUUAUAGUAAUCUUUAAAUUAUUGGUGUGCCGUACAUAAUUAAUAAAGGGAUUGGUUAGGCAAAUAGAAACCACGGUCCCUAAACGUGGUUUUCAAUAUCCCUAAACAAUACAGAUGGCGACAACAUGCAUAGGAAAAAACAGCGGCGACCGCAACAAUAAACAGCAGUACCGGCUAACAGAAAACUCAUAAUCUGAACCACUUUACUCAACUCAUUCAUUUCAAUUUAUAUAACUUUGAGAAUUUCAUAUUAACCAUCAACUUCAAAUUCAUCAUCAUACAAUUAAUCUCGAAAUUCAUUUGCAAUGGCUUCGUUGAUACUUUUAUUUUCGGACCUUCUUUGGAUCCAUGAGUGGGAUGCUACAGCUCUAUUAGCCACAUAUCCUCCAUCUUCUCUUCUUCUUCAUCGGCUCCUGCUGCUCAGAGAAACUUUGAAAGAUGAAGAAACUGUGAUUGAGAAUAAUCCAUGGAAUUUGAAUCCAGGGUAUGUGUGGAUUUGUUUGGCCUUAAACUUCUUCAACUUUCAUUAGGAGAUGAAAACUGAUGUAUUCUACUGUACUGAAAUGUAAUAACUUAGUGUAAUUUUGUUUAAUCUUCUUUACUUUAUUAUUAGGAGAUGAAAUGAUUCGGUAUGGUGUAUGGGGUCUGAGUAUUGUAACUUAGUUAGACAUGUUCUUAGGAUAACAUUAUCCUUGAUUAACAGAAAACAGUCCUAACAAGGGAACCUUAAUACAAAUGCAAGACUACAUCAGCCAAAGGCUUGAGAGACUACUAUUCUAGUAUGUGUUUUUUCUCGAUCUAAGCGCAAUACCUCUACUUCAAGAAAAUUAGGCAGGAAUUACAUGUCAUCUGAAAAGAAGAAUAUUAUAAAUAAUUUAUUUAUUAGUAUAAAUAAGAAUUUAAUGUUGGAUAUCAGAGUGUUCUUUCGAAUUUACUUAAAAACUCCAAAUCACGUACCCAAAACAAAGCGAGAAAUGAGUUAUCUGAGGGGGAAUAUAUGAUUUCAAAUACCAUUUCAUUUAAUGCAAAAUCUUUUACUUUAAUUAUUUCCUUGAGAUCUAUCUUUAAUUUCAUUACUAUUUCUUCUUCACUUUACAUUAUCUUUUAUAAUUUGUGUCACUUUCUCAUUGUCGAAAUCAUUUACCUUUCAAGCAAUUAUACCUUAAUUUGCACUACUUUUAAAUAUAGAUUUCGCCACGUCGAAGCACUUCACAUUCUCGCACAAAACUAAGAAAGAUUUUUAUUACUACGUUCUAGGAUUAUCUGGUCAAUCCUGCAAGUAAUCUUUUAUAAAGACAAACAUUGUUUACUAAAUUUCACAGUAAACAAAAUUGGCACGCCCAGUGGGACGUUGUGCUAAAACCUUUUUCUAUUAUAGAUAUUAUAGUUUUCUUUAGAAUUUUUUUGCGUACAUGAAAUGUUAUGAUAUUUGCGUGCAUUUAAGAAGUGGAAAGAUUUACAAAAAUGAUGCGUCCUUCUAUGGAUAACUCUAACAUCACCAACAAUCCUCAAAAUUAGUAGAAUAAUUAGUCAGAUCGACGGUUGGAAGACAAUUAUUUCAACGCCUGAAUUCCACUUUAACCCCGUAGUUGCAAGACCUAUGUUAGUUUUUCGACGCCAAUGAAUAGGAGGGACUACUCUUAUGGCAUUGCCAAUAUCGAUGAUGACUGACCUUCACAUAACAUGUCGACAUAUAGUGAAAACGCAAUGGCCACGAGGCCAUCAUAAUCGCCAUAAUUCCUCUUCUUCAACCAUAAAUAAUAUGGUUUGACCACGAGGGAUACUUUUAUCCCUCAAGUGACACCAUCAUUAGAUACGAUGUCUAUGAUGACUAUAUGAGGCAACAAAUAUAUGAAUCAAUCUUGAAAUGGUUAACACUUUGACCCACAAAUGGGCUACAAUAUGUUAGUGUAAGCCCUAGAGGCCAAUACUUUUGGUACUUGUAUCGAAUUAUUUAUUAUUAAUAAAAGGUUUUUUUUUGUUAUGUUUGAUUAAUAAAGUCCCUAGAAUAGCAGUCCGUUUAAUGUAUCAAGUAUGACUUAAUCAUAGAUCACAUUAAACAUAAGGACACUAUCCUUAAAGUAUCCGGAGUCGAGCUUUAUUGUGAAGUGGGAUAACAUUAAAGCAUAAGACUAUUAUGUUUUAGACUGAUGAUCACAUAUCAUGGAUCUGGAUAAAGGUUAUCAAGUAUUAACAUAGGUAUGAUAUUAGAGUAAUAUUUAUACCGAAUUGACCCGCAAUGAGAAUACUAUAUAGAAAGUUAUGCAAAGUGUCAUAAGUUAUUCUUCAUGGUGAUAAUGGUGUUACCACUCUUCGACCUGAAACCACUAUGGACCCUAGAUGUAGAGUCGAGUGCUUUAUUGUGAUCCAACGUUGUCCGUAAUUGGAUAACCAUAAAGACAGUUGAUUGGUACUCCACAAAGCAUGCUGAGGGACAUGAGUGUCCUAGAUGGAAUUUGCCCAUCCUGCGUAACAGGAUAAAUGUCUAUGGGCCCAAUAUUGAACUGGACAAGGAUGACACGGUCUAUACCUUAUGUUCAAUAUAGACAUAAGGGCAAAAGGGUAAUUAUACACAUAAUUAUUAUCACAGGAGGUUUGUCAGAUCACAUGAUAUUUUCGUGUCUUGGGUAGCAGUGAUGUGUUGCUAGAUACCGCUCACUGUUUAUUAUGUUAAAUGCCUGAUUUAAUAAUUGCCAACGUCGCGAAAACCUACAGGGUCACACACAAAGGACGGAUUGAUGAGAAAUAGAGUAACUAAGGAACACCGUAAGGUACGGUGCACUUAAGUGGAUACGAAUAUGGUAAGGUACCACACGCUUAAGUGAUUUUGGGCAUAUAUUAUAAGAUAUGGGCCAAAAUACACUUAAGUGGGCUUUUUAGCUUGAAGCCACACAAGUGGUUCUAUAAAUAGAACCCUUGGUAGAAGCAUUGUCACUCAGACUAACACUCAAGUGGAGACUUGGAAUUUCGUUUCCCUCUCUCUCUCUCUCUCUCACUCAAAGCCUUCAUUCGUACCAGCUAGCACUGAGAUUGAAGGAACCCGUUCGUAUGAUUGAGUAGAGACGUUGUCAUCGUUCAACGUUCGUUAUCGCUCCGUGGAUUUGUAUCCAAGUUUUUUGAUCGUUACAAGAGAUCUCCACAAUAAAGCUCGACUACGGAUACUUUAAGGAUAGUGUCCUUAUGUUUAAUGUGAUCUCAUGAUUAAGUCAUACUUGAUACAUUAAACGGACUAGCUAUUCUAGGGACUUUAUUAAUCAAACAUAACAAAAAAAAACCUUUUAUUAAUUAAUAAAUAAUUCGAUACAAGUACCAAAAGUAUUGGCCUCUAGGGCUUACACUAACAUAUUGUACCCAUUUGUUGGGUCAAAGUGUUAACCAUUUCAAGAUUGAUUUCAUAUAUUUGUUGCCUCAUAGUCAUCAUAGACAUCGUAUCUAAUGAUGGUGUCACUUGAGGGAUAUAAAGUAUCCCUCGUGGUCAAACCAUAUUAUUUAUGGUUGAAGAAGAGGAAUUAUGGCGAUUAUGAUGGCCCUGUGGCCAUUGCGUUUUCACUAUAUGUCGACAUGUUAGUGUGAAGGUCAGUCAUCAUCGAUAUUGGCAAUGCCAUAAGAGUAGUCCCUACUAUUCAUUGGCGUCGAAAAACUAAACAUAGGUCUUGCAACUACGGGGUUAAAGUGGAAUUCCAGGCGUUGAAAUAAUUGUCUCUUCAACCGUCGAUCUGACUAAUUAUUCUACUACAUUUUGAGGAUUGUUUUGUGAGUUAGAGUUAUCCAUAGAAGGACGCAUCAUUUUUUGUAAAUCUUUUCCACUUCUUAAAUGCACGCAAAUAUUCAUAACAUUUCAUGUACGCAAAAAAAUUUCUAAAGAAAACUAUAAUAUCUAUAAUAGAAAAAGGUUUUAGCACAACGUCCCACUGGGCGUGCCAAUUUGUUUACUGUGAAAUUUAGUAAACAAAUGUUUGUCUUUUAUAAAAAGAUUACUUGCAGGAUUGACCAGAUAAUCCUAGAACGUAGUAAUAAAAAUCUUUCUUAGUUUUGUGCGAGAAUGUGAAGUGCUUCGACGUGGUCGAAAUCUAUAUUUAAAAGUAGUGCAAAUUAAGGUAUAAUUGCUUGAAAGGUAAAUGAUUUCGACAAUGAGAAAGUGACACAAAAUUUAUAAAAGAUAAUGUAAAGUGAAAAGAAAUAGUAAUGAAAUUAAAGAUAGAUCUCAAAGGAAAUAAUUUAAAGUAAAAGAUUUUGCAUUAAAUGAAAUGGUAUUUGAAAUCAUAUAUUCCCCCUCAGAUAACUCAUUUCUCGCUUUGUUUGGGUACGUUGAGUUUGUGAGUUUUUUAAGUAAAUUCGAAAGAACACUCUGAAUCCUAACAUUAAAUUCUUAUUUAUACUAAUAAAAUAAUUAUUUAUAAUAUUCUUCUUUUCAGAUGACAUGUAAUUCCUGCCUAAUUUUCUUGAAGUAGAGGUAUUGCGCUUAGAUCGAGAAAAAACACAUACUAGAAUAGUAGUCUCUCAAGCCUUUGGCUGAUGUAGUCUUGCAUUUGUAGAUUAAGGUUCCCUUGUUAGGACUGUUUUCUGUUAAUCAAGGAUAAUGUUAUCCUAAGAACAUGUCUAACUAAGUUACAAUACUCAGACACACCAUACACGAAUCAUUUCAUCUCCUAAUAAUAAAGUAAAGAAGAUUAAACAAAAUUACACUAAGUUAUUACAUUUCAGUACAGUAGAAUACAUCAGUUUUCAUCUCCUAAUGAAAGUUGAAGAAGUUUAAGGCCAAACAAAAUCCACACAUACCCUGGAUUCAAAUUCCAAUGGAUUAUUCUCAAUCACAGUUUCUUCAUCUUUCAAAGUUUUUCUCUGAGCAGCAGGAGCCGAUGAAGAAGAAAGAGAAGAUGGAGGAUAUGUGGCUAAUAGAGCUGUAGCAUCCCACUCAUGGAUCCAAAGAAGGUCCGAAAAUAAAAGUAUCAACGAAGCCAUUGCAAAUGAAUUUCGAGAUUAAUUGUAUGAUGAUGAAUUUGAAGUUGAUGGUUAAUAUGAAAAUUCUCAAAGUUAUAUAUAAUUGAAAUGAAUGAGUUGAGUAAAGUGGUUACAGAUUAUGAGUUUUCUGUUAGCCGGUACUGCUGUUUAUUGUUGCGGUCGCCGCUGUUUUUUCCUAUGCAUGUUGUCGCCAUCUGUAUUGUUUAGGGAUAUUGAAAACCAC